rnacentral:rRNA from 1 species
GAACUUAAGCAUAUCAAUAAGCGGAGGAAAAGAAACUAACCAAGGAUUCCCCUAGUAACGGCGAGUGAAGCGGGAAGAGCUCAAAUUUGUAAUCUGCCGGCCUUUGGCCGUCCGAGUUGUAGUCUGGAGAAGCGUCUUCCGCGUCGGACCGUGUACAAGUCCCUUGGAACAGGGCGUCAUAGAGGGUGAGAAUCCCGUCUUUGACACGGACUGCCGGUGCUUUGUGAUGCGCUCUCGAAGAGUCGAGUUGUUUGGGAAUGCAGCUCAAAACGGGUGGUAAAUUCCAUCUAAAGCUAAAUAUUGGCGAAAGACCGAUAGCGAACAAGUACCGUGAGGGAAAGAUGAAAAGCACUUUGGAAAGAGAGUUAAACAGUACGUGAAAUUGUUGAAAGGGAAACGCUUGAAGUCAGUCGCGUCUCCCGGGACUCAGCCGUGCCCUGUCGGGGCGCGGUGUACUUCCUGGCUGUGACGGGCCAACAUCGAUUUGGGCGUCGGAGAAAGGCCUUGGGAAUGUGGCACCUUCGGGUGUGUUAUAACCCUGGGUCGCAUGCGACGGUCGGGAUCGAGGACCGCAGCACGUUUCUCCUUCUUUGCUCGGG